UUCGCGCGCGUAACGAUGGUGACAUUUAAUAUUUAUCUUUCAGUUCACGUUUCACGUGACAAAUUUCAAUAUGGCUUCUGUGCUCCGAUCUCUCGAUUUAGCUGCAAAUCAAUAUCGGUCGUAUGGUCGUUGAUCAACAUUAAUAUAAAUUCUGUUCAUUAAAGAGAACGGCUGACUACGCUUCUUCUCAAAUAUUGCUGUUCUGAUGCCGUUGUUCGUAUCUUCGUAAUACACGUCAAUUGGAAUCUUAUUCGUAAACAUUACAAUCGGUAUAGUUUUACCGAAACUCUCUAAGCCUCGACAAUAUUUUUCCGUACAAAAAGCAAAAUGAGUAAACGACUAAGAAUUUGGAAAA